GGACUACUGGGGUAUCUAAUCCUGUUCGCUCCCCACGCUUUCGCUCCUCAGCGUCAGUACCGGCCCAGACCACCGCCUUCGCCACCGGUGUUCCUCCUGAUAUCUGCGCAUUUCACCGCUACACCAGGAAUUCCGUGGUCCCCUACCGGACUCUAGCCAUAGCAGUAUCGGGUGGCCUCUCCAGGUUAAGCCUGGAGGUUUUACACCCGACUUGCUAAGCCGCCUACGAGCUCUUUACGCCCAAUGAAUCCGGACAACGCUCGCCCCCUACGUAUUACCGCGGCGGCUGGCAC
rnacentral:rRNA from 1 species